UUCGAUGAGACGAGAUAAAAGCUCGACGUGAAGUGACAGUUGGUACGCAGAUCCCAUUUUAUCUUCCACGGCACAACUUGUCUCUUCCAACUCAUCUUGAAAAUGAAGUCUGUAAUUGUGAGCCUUUCAUUGUUGAGCUUGUUGGUCGGCAGUUCGGAGGCGUGGUUCCUCAAUCUCAAGUCCGGCAAAUCUGACACAGCGGCAAAAGUGACGUGGAGUGACGAGCCGGUUCCGUCGUCCAUAGAUGGGACUCCAGCUCUACCGUCGCCGUAACCGUAACCUUUGGGUUCAAAUUUCUUGCCGUAACAGGACCUGCAGAAGAGCUCUUGCCUCUUGGUUGUGCUCGGUCUCGUUCGUACUGUCCAAAAUCCGUUCGUGGCUGCCGCUUAAUACGCAGCUCCUGUCCAGGUCCCUGCUGUUGUUGCUGACCAGGGUGUUGCAUCCCAACAAUAUGCAGUUUAUUCCGCUGGAUACGGAGCUGCUGGCCCGCAGUUCGUCCAAUACGCCGGUGCUUCGCAGAUGUCUGAUGGGACUUGGGUGAUGCAAUACGCCGGAGCUGGAGAUGCUGUUGCUGCUGGUGCGCCUUACUCGCCAACAGGAAACGACAAAGAGACGGUUGCCGAAGGAUCUGCAGUUCCGGUUCCAAUUGAAGAGUAUGCUAAUGCUUGACUCAACUGAUCGCGCACAGUUUUUACUUUUAAUUUUACAUUAUUUAAUUCGCCUGAAUGAUGUACCUUGCUAUAUUUACUUGACACAAUCGAUUUGCUAAAAAUAUAUAAUAAAUUUGUGCUUUUAACAAA
rnacentral:misc_RNA from 1 species